ensembl:lncRNA
CAAUAAGACAUAACAUACACCCCAUCAAUAGUAAGGUGGUUGUGUGGAAAAACAAACCUGAAACAGGUUUGAGGCUGGAAAACAUUAAUUUACCACUUAGCCUCUCAGACUACAUGUGGUUCAAGAACAUAAGCCCAACAUACCCCCAAAACUAAAGUAAAGCAAGACAAAUAAGAUGAAGCAAAACAGAUCUGGUGGAACAGAACAGUACAUAAAAUAAUGACCCCAAAAACAGAUCGGGUAAAGCAAAACAAAUCGGGUAAAGCCAAACCAGAUCGGGUAACGCCAAAACCAGAUCGGGUAAAGCCCAAACCAGAUCGGGUAAAGCGAAACAGAUCGGGUAAAGCCAAAACCAGAUCGGGUAACGCCAAAACCAGAUCGGGUAAAGUAAAACCAGAUCGGGUAAAGCCAAAACAGAUCGGGUAAAGCCAAAACAGCAGCGGCAUCCCAUGUAGC